UAGUACAUAGUCUAGUGUAUAUUGUCCUGGCUGUAGGUUGUUAUUGUAGUAGUAGAGUAGUACAUAGUCUAGUGUAUAUUGUCCUGGCUGUAGGUUGUUAUUGUAGUAGUAGAGUAGUACAUAGUCUAGUGUAUAUUGUCCUGGCUGUAGGUUGUUAUUGUAGUAGUAGAGUAGUACAUAGUCUAGUGUAUAUUGUCCUGGCUGUAGGUUGUUAUUGUAGUAGUAGAGUAGUACAUAGUCUAGUGUAUAUUGUCCUGGCUGUAGAUUGUUAUUGUAGUAGUAGAGUAGUACAUAGUCUAGUGUAUAUUGUCCUGGCUGUAGGUUGUUAUUGUAGUACUAGAGUAGUACAUAGUCUAGUGUAUAUUGUCCUGGCUGUAGAUUGUUAUUGUAGUAGUAGAGUAGUACAUAGUCUAGUGUAUAUUGUCCUGGCUGUAGAUUGUUAUUGUAGUAGUAGAGUAGUACAUAGUCUAGUGUAUAUUGUCCUGGCUGUAGAUUGUUAUUGUAGUACUAGAGUAGUACAUAGUCUAGUGUAUAUUGUCCUGGCUGUAGGUUGUUAUUGUAGUACUAGAGUAGUACAUAGUCUAGUGUAUAUUGUCCUGGCUGUAGAUUGUUAUUGUAGUACUAGAGUAGUACAUAGUCUAGUGUAUAUUGUCCUGGCUGUAGGUUGUUAUUGUAGUACUAGAGUAGUACAUAGUCUAGUGUAUAUUGUCCUGGCUGUAGGUUGUUAUUGUAGUACUACGACAGUAAUACAAAGUAGUACUGAUUCUCCAGUGUCUGUUGGCUGUAUAUGGUUGGUGUUGGCUGUAGU